rnacentral:rRNA from 1 species
UGGGGAAUAUUGCACAAUGGAGGGAACUCUGAUGCAGCGACGCCGCGUGAGUGAUGAAGGAAUUCGUUUCGUAAAACUCUGUUCUAUGGGAAGAAAAGGACUGUACCAUAGGAGAAAGCUCCGGCUAAAUACGUGCCAGCAGCCGCGGUAAUACGUAUGGAGCGAGCGUUGUCCGGAAUUAUUGGGCGUAAAGGGUGCGCAGGCGGCUUUACAAGUUGGAUGUGAAAUAUUGUGGCUCAACCACAAACGUGCAUCCAAAACUGCAAAGCUUGAGUUAAGGAGAGGUAAGUGGAAUUCCUGGUGUAGCGGUGGAAUGCGUAAAUAUCAGGAGGAAUACCGGUGGCGAAGGCGACUUACUGGACUUAAACUGACGCUCAGCCACGAAAGCGUGGGGAGCAAACAGG